rnacentral:rRNA from 1 species
CGCGUAGGCGGCAAAUUAAGUCAGCUGUGAAAUCUCCGAGCUUAACUCGGAACUGUCAGCUGAUACUGAUCUGCUAGAGUGCGGAAGGGGCAAUCGGAAUUCUUGGUGUAGCGGUGAAAUGCGUAGAUAUCAAGAGGAACACCUGAGGUGAAGACGGGUUGCUGGGCCGACACUGACGCUGAGUGCGCGAAAGCCAGGGGAGCAAACGGGAUUAGAUACCCCGGUAGUCCUGGCCUUAAACGAUGAAUACUUGGUGUCUGGAGUCUCUAUAGCUCCGGGUGCCGUCGCUAACGUUUUUAGUAUUCCGCCUGGGGAGUACGCACGCAAGUGUGAA